rnacentral:rRNA from 1 species
GAUAAACGCUGGCGGCGUGCCUAACACAUGCAAGUCGAACGUCCUCUGGCAACAGAGGGAGUGGCGGACGGGUGAGUAACACGUGGGUAUCUCCCACAAGGUGAGGAAUACCACCGAGAAAUCGGUGACAAGACCGCAUACGCUCGUAAGAGCAAAGCCGCAAGGCGCCUUGUGACGAGCCUGCGUCUGAUUAGCUAGUUGGUGGGGUAAGAGCCUACCAAGGCCACGAUCAGUAGCUGGUCUGAGAGGAUGAUCAGCCACACUGGGAUUGAGAACG